GUACUCGAGUGGCGAACGGGUGAGUAACACGUGGGUGAUCUGCCCUGCACUUCGGGAUAAGCCUGGGAAACUGGGUCUAAUACCGGAUAGGACCAUCGUUUAGUGUCGGUGGUGGAAAGUUUUUCGGUGCAGGAUGAGCCCGCGGCCUAUCAGCUUGUUGGUGGGGUAAUGGCCUACCAAGGCGUCGACGGGUAGCCGGCCUGAGAGGGUGGACGGCCACAUUGGGACUGAGACACGGCCCAGACUCCUACGGGAGGCAGCAGUGGGGAAUAUUGCACAAUGGGCGCAAGCCUGAUGCAGCGACGCCGCGUGGGGGAUGAAGGCCUUCGGGUUGUAAACUCCUUUCAGCAGGGACGAAGCUUUUGUGACGGUACCUGCAGAAGAAGCACCGGCUAACUACGUGCCAGCAGCCGCGGUAAUACGUAGGGUGCGAGCGUUGUCCGGAAUUACUGGGCGUAAAGAGCUCGUAGGUGGUUUGUCGCGUCGUCUGUGAAAUUCCGGGGCUUAACUCCGGGCGUGCAGGCGAUACGGGCAUAACUUGAGUGCUGUAGGGGAGACUGGAAUUCCUGGUGUAGCGGUGAAAUGCGCAGAUAUCAGGAGGAACACCGAUGGCGAAGGCAGGUCUCUGGGCAGUUACUGACGCUGAGGAGCGAAAGCAUGGGUAGCGAACAG
rnacentral:rRNA from 1 species